CUCAGUGUUUAUCUGUGGGUGUCUGCUUCUGCUUCCAUCAGCUACUGGAUGAAGGCUCUAGGAUGGCAUAUAAGGAUGACCAUUUUGUUUGCUGGAGGUAUCAGAUGGGCAAUGGAAACAGUUAACAUGAAUGGACAGUUCCCAUCAGCCAUCAGUAAAAUGAAGAGUAAAGAUUUUUCUGCAUUGCAGGGAUGCAAUGGUGGUUAAUGGAAAUAAUCCAUUGAAAGAGCUUUGAAAAUUGCCUGGAAUACAAAUGGGGCUGAGGAAACACGAGGCAGUGUUAUCAUCAUCAAUAGUAAACAAGCUUGAACUGAUGACCAAAAUUUCAUUUGCUCUUUCUUUUCAAGUUUCCCAAAGUGAAUAUGCAUCUGCUACUGUGGUCUUCCAGGAUGGUUUUCCUAGGUCACACACUUGCCAUGAGGUGAACAGCAUUGCUACAUGGUACCAUCCUGAGGCAAACAGCAUUGUUACUCCAUAUCAUCCUGUGUCCAUGCUGCUUUACUUCACCACAGCAAUGGAAUACAACAGCCAUGCACUACACCAUAUUUUGACACAACAACAAUGAGUGGCUUACACAAGGGCCAUGCCCCUGGAGUCAGGCAACUGCAUCUUUUGUCUUCUAACCUUUGGCCUGCCCUCAUGAAACAAGUGGAGGCAGAACUUGUAUUAAUCAGGAUGCUGUAAAGGAACAGAACUGAUUGAAUGUGGUGUGUGUGUGUGUGUGUGUGUGUGUGUGUGUGUGUGUGUGUGUGUGUUGUGUAUGAGGUGAGGGUGGGAUUUAAAUGCAGUCUGUGUUCCAUGUAAUCCAACAAUUUAAAGACCAGAAAUCUGGUAGCUGUUCAGCAGUCCCAAUCUGGUGUUGGAGUGCCAGAAGAUUCCCAGAGAGCCACUGGGCUGCAAUCUACAUUGGAAUCCUAAAGAAGUAGGUUCUAGUAUUGGGGAAGGAAUGCCUUGGAAACAGGAUAGACGGAACUUGCCAUCAAGGGUGAGGGCAAGCAGGCUAAAACCAAAAGCUUCCUUCUUCCUUGUCCAUUUCUGUGGGCUUCCACCUUAAGGUAUGGCACAGAAUUGUCAUAAUUCUUCCCAUCACAAAUGACAUAGUCAAUAAAAUUUGGGUUUUGGUGGACUUUGGGGAGCCCCCGUUGAGGGCCCUACCCUGCCUGGGGAGUGGAGG
rnacentral:lncRNA from 1 species